rnacentral:lncRNA from 1 species
UGAUAUUUAUCAUUUCAUAAACCUCAGUAAGAGAGACAACGGGAAAGAUACAUGACGACAAACAAGGAAGCGACAACUUACAGUCAGAAAGGCAAAAAAAAGGAAGCCACAACCUAUAGUCAAAAAGGCAAAGAGGGAACCCGCAGCUUAUAGUCAAAAGGCAUUUCCUGUUACCAGAGCCAUCCAUCAAAAUCUAGCUUUUCCGGAAGACCCAUUAUAUAUAGUACCGAUUUCAAAACCCAUCGAGGCAAACUUUAAAAGCUUGAUCGAUGCUCUCCAAAAACCUAGGCGAGAACGCAAAAAUAAAACGCCUUCUCGUAUCAGUUCAUCAAACCCCCCUUUUCCUUUUUUCCCCUCCUCCCCCCGUCCGUGUAAACUUCAGCGUCAAUUAGCAAACUGGUUAUCGCCCAAGACAAUACCAAUCGCGAGCAGCGCGCACACAGAAAAAGAAAAAGGCACCACCUUUGCGAAAACGCAAGACGCAAUCUUAUGCGCACACGAGAAAUG